GUUUUUGUGUUGUUUUUU
rnacentral:sRNA from 1 species